rnacentral:rRNA from 1 species
GAACGCUGGCGGCAGGCUAACACAUGCAAGUCGAGCGGGGAUAGGGUGCUUGCACCUGAUCCUAGCGGCGGACGGGUGAGUAAUGCUUAGGAAUCUGCCUAGUUAGUGGGGGACAACGUUCCGAAAGGGACGCUAAUACCGCAUACGUCCUACGGGAGAAAGCAGGGGAUCUUCGGACCUUGCGCUAAUAGAUGAGCCUAAGUCGGAUUAGCUAGUUGGUGGGGUAAAGGCCUACCAAGGCGACGAUCUGUAGCGGGUCUGAGAGGAUGAUCCGCCACACUGGGACUGAGACACGGCCCAGACUCCUACGGGAGGCAGCAGUGGGGAAUAUUGGACAAUGGGGGCAACCCUGAUCCAGCCAUGCCGCGUGUGUGAAGAAGGCCUUUUGGUUGUAAAGCACUUUAAGCGAGGAGGAGGCUUACCUGGUUAAUACCCGGGAUAAGUGGACGUUACUCGCAGAAUAAGCACCGGCUAACUCUGUGCCAGCAGCGGC